UGCCACAUUAGGCUGAAUGUUGUUUGAUAAAGGAUAAAAUAGGCUCCAAUGAUACAGACUUUCAAAGUAAUAUUCAGGAUGUUUUGUAUUUUAAGUGAGAAAUGACCAUCUCUCAGAAAUUUUAGUCAUGCUGCUGUGACAAAUAUGAAGCAGUUGUUUGCUGAAUCUCAUGUUCCCCAGGAAAAAUACAGCAGAGGAAAAAAAGAGAGGGGAGCGAGGAAAAACUGAAACAUUUU